rnacentral:rRNA from 1 species
AGAGUUUGAUCCUGGCUCAGGACGAACGCUUGCGGCGUGCCUUAAGAAAUGCAAGUCGAACGAGGACUCCGGUCCUAGUGGCGAACGGUCGCGUAACACGUAAGCAACCUGCCCUGAAGUGGGGGACAACAUCCCGAAAGGGGUGCUAAUACCGCAUGUGGUCACGAGUCGGCAUCGACUUGUGUCUAAAGAUUUAUCGCUUCAGGAUGGGCUUGCGGCCUAUCAGGUAGUUGGUGGGGUAAUGGCCUACCAAGCCGACGACGGGUAGCUGGUCUGAGAGGACGAUCAGCCGGAUUGGGACUGAGAUACGGCCCAGACUCCUACGGGGGGCAGCAAUUAGGAAUCUUGCGCAAUGGGGGGAACCCUGACGCAGCGACGUCGCGUGAAGGAUGAAGGCCCUCGGGUCGUAAACUUCUUUUGAGUGGGAAGAAAUUUGACGGUACCACUCGAAUAAGCCCCGGCUAACUACGUGCCAGCAGCCGCGGUAAUACGUAGGGGGCGAGCGUUGUCCGAAGUUACUGGGCGUAAAGCGCGCGUAGGCGGUUAUUUAAGUCUGGGGUGAAAGGUUCAGCGCUCAACGUGAACAGUGCCUUGGAUACUGGAUGACUUGAGUCUGGGAGGGGGAAGGGGAAUUCC